CGAUCCGGCCCCCUCGGGCUGGCGUGGGAGCCCCUGGGUAGAGGCGAGGGGACGGGGUACGAAGCGAGAACUGCGCUAUGGUUCCCGUCCUGUCUCUCGCUGCUCCGCUAUCUGGGAAAGCUCACGUACAUCACGAGAGGAAAAUCCAAGAGUGCUUUCCCUGGGCGGGUUCUUCCGACACUGAAAAAGCGCGCCCGGGCAUUGCUGUCUGCUCAGGCUUCUCGUCUUCUCACUUCGAAGGCAUCCUGGCCAGCCCCAGCGUGGUCACGUGUGCUGCCGUAGGGUGGCGAGCAGAGACGCCACGAGUCGCAACACACCCACCCACCCCGCGUUGGGAUCAAUUACUCCAGAGGGACUGUCACCUUCCAAAUGGCACACGGGUUGCUGCAAAGGCAGCGGAUUUUGCUCUCGGUGUGUACUAGAGACUCACUAGUGGAACUGAAACAAUACCAGACACCAUCACAUUAGAGCCUGCCAGACACAGUUGGAAGCUGACGAUGGUUUCAAGAGGAUGAACACAAGUGUGAUACCUGAUCCUUGCAGGAUGAAGUCAGAAACUUUUAGGUGCUCCUAGAUUUGGAAUUUGCCACAACAGAUCAGCAUGGAAAGAAGCAAUUAAAGCAUAAGCGGUGAGAUCUGCAUAAAGAUUCUUUAGCAAAUAUUGGACUAUAAACCUUAAUAACAAACUAAUCCAGCAAUAGCCCUUGAUUUCUUUUUAUAAUCAGCAACAGUUAUUCUGAAAGGAAGCCUGUAAAGGAGCUGUGUGUUGUAGAUGUUCCUUCAUUGCUUUUCACUUUGAGUAGCAUUUGUGAGCUGGCCACAACCCAAUGAGGAUGUACUGUCUGAGCAGUGGAAAGAUAAAGAAGAAGCAUAGUAGGGGCAUUUACUAGCUGUGGGAGACAGAAACACUGAGCAGCAUCCAGAUGCCAAAAGGCCUUGCAAUGCUGCAGCUGCUUGUCUCUAAAGGACCAACUACCAGAAGAAAAGCUGGGAAACAUUGGGUGUGAAAUGGCAAUAUGUUUGGAAUUCUGUACCAAAUCUUCAUCAUUAGCAGAGUCCAGAACAUGCAGACCAGUAAGUUGGAAAUGGAAGUAACAGCAGACACAUCCCCAAUAUGGCUAGCGUCCUGGAUUCCAUCGCAUCAGCAAAUGUGGAUUUAGGAGCAAGAAUUUAUCUAGGGAACAUGCAACUUCCAUCUGAUU